ensembl:snRNA U6 U6 spliceosomal RNA
GUGCUUGCUUCAGCAGCACAUAUACUAAAAUUGGAAUGAUACAGAGAAGAUUAGCAUGGCCCCUGAGCAAAAAUGACACAAAAAUUCUGAAAAAAAAAAAAAAAGCCU